rnacentral:rRNA from 1 species
CCUACGGGAGGCAGCAGUGGGGAAUAUUGCACAAUGGGGGGAACCCUGAUGCAGCAACGCCGCGUGGGUGAAGAAGUACUCCGGUAUGUAAAGCCCUGUCAGCAGGGAAGAAAAUGACGGUACCUGACCAAGGAGCCCCGGCUAACUACGUGCCAGCAGCCGCUGGAAUACGUAGGGGGCAAGCGUUAACCGGAAUUACUGGGUGUAAAGGGAGCGUAGACGGCAAGGCAAGUCUGGAGUGAAAGCCCGUGGCCCAACCACGGGACUGCUUUGGAAACUGUGUUGCUGGAGUGCAGGAGGGGUAAGCGGAAUUCCAUGUGUAGCGGUGAAAUGCGUAGAUAUAAGGAAGAACACCAGUGGCGAAGGCGGAUGACUGGAUGGAAACUGACGGUGAGGCGCGAAAGCGUGGGGAGCAAACAGGAUUAGAUACCCUAGUAGUC